AAGACAUGGAGGAAUGUGCCAUGGAGAUUUUUCCCUCCGCUUCCGUAGCGCCGCUUUCUACAAGCCCCGUCUGUUAACUCUUUACUCCAAAAAUCAGUCAAAUAAGUCUGUCGCCUUCGAAAUCAGGACAGAUGUCCUGGAAAAAGACUUUUUCCAUCCGGGUCUUUUAGAAGGGUCGGAAAGACGAGAUCGUGAUCCGAAAACCCGCCGAGCGUUUGAUGUCUUGCACUCUCCUGUCAAGCGGAGUGGAGUGGUCAUCUUGAACUUUUCCUCUCGUGCGGGCGUCCAGUCGGGCGAGGCAGUCCUGGUGCCCUCCAUAGUGCAGUAAAGUGGGUGAGGGGCUACAGUCUGUUGAGACUCGUGCCGCAGUUUUCUUUCCAUUCAGUAAAUAGGGAAAUAUGGC